rnacentral:rRNA from 1 species
AGUGAACGCUGGCGGCAGGCCUAACACAUGCAAGUCGAGCGGCAGCACAGCAGUAGCAAUACUGUGGGUGGCGAGCGGCGGACGGGUGAGGAAUACAUCGGAAUCUACCUUCUUGUGGGGGAUAACGUAGGGAAACUUACGCUAAUACCGCAUAAGACCUGAGGGUGAAAGCGGGGGACCGCAAGGCCUCGCGCGAGAAGAUGAGCCGAUGUCGGAUUAGCUAGUUGGUGAGGUAAAGGCUCACCAAGGCGACGAUCCGUAGCUGGUCUGAGAGGAUGAUCAGCCACACUGGAACUGAGACACGGUCCAGACUCCUACGGGAGGCAGCAGUGGGGAAUAUUGGACAAUGGGCGCAAGCCUGAUCCAGCCAUGCCGCGUGUGUGAAGAAGGCCUUCGGGUUGUAAAGCACUUUUGUUGGGGAAGAAAAGAUUCGGGUUAAUAACCCGGGUUCAUGACGGUACCCAAAGAAUAAGCACCGGCUAACUUCGUG